rnacentral:tRNA from 1 species
GCCUCGUUAGCGCAGUAGGCAGCGCGUCAGUGUCAUAAUCUGAAGGUCAUGAGUUCGAUCCUCACACGAGGCA